rnacentral:rRNA from 1 species
UACAGAGGGGGCGAGCGUUAUUCGGAAUUAUUGGGCGUAAAGGGCGCGUAGGCGGCCUUUCAAGUGACGGGUGAAAUCCCUCGGCUUAACCGAGGAACUGCCUGUCAGACUGGAAGGCUUGAGACCGGGAGAGGUGAGUGGAAUUCCCAGUGUAGCGGUGAAAUGCGUAGAUAUUGGGAGGAACACCAGUGGCGAAGGCGGCUCACUGGACCGGUAUUGACGCUGAGGCGCGAAAGCGUGGGGAGCAAACAGG